GUACUGUUGAGGAGUCCCACAAUAGGAUGAAACGUCUGUCCAGUAC
rfam:Schistosoma curassoni strain Dakar, Senegal genome assembly, scaffold: SCTD_scaffold0003294